rnacentral:rRNA from 1 species
UGUAAGCGUAUACCAUAGUUGUUGCAGUUAAAACGCUCGUAGUCGGAAUUUGGCAGUUCCGGAUGUGUGCACGUCGUGUGCGCACUUCGCGGGGAUUUCUUUUGUGGUCUUGCGUAGGAUGAGGCACUUUUAUUAGUGAACGUCCUCACGCAACCACUUUUUACUGUGAGAAAAUUAGAGUGCUCAAAGCAGGCAUUUGCCGUGAAUGUAUUAGCAUGGAAUAAUAGAAUAGGACUUGGUUCUAUUUUGUUGGUUUGUUGGGACUGAGUAAUGAUUAAGAGGGACAGUUGGGGGCAUUUGUAUUUCGGUGCUAGAGGUGAAAUUCUUAGAUUACCGAAAGACAAACUGCUGCGAAAGCGUCUGCCAAGGAUGUUUUCAUUGA